GUGCUUGCUUUGGCAGCGCAUAUACUAAAAUUUGAACAAUACAGAGAAGAUUAGCAUGGCCCCUGUGCAAGGAUGACACGCAAAUUUGUGAAGCAUUCCAUAUUUUU
ensembl:snRNA U6 U6 spliceosomal RNA